rnacentral:rRNA from 1 species
AUUGAACGCUGGCGGCAUGCCUUACACAUGCAAGUCGAACGGUAACAGGUCUUCGGAUGCUGACGAGUGGCGAACGGGUGAGGAAUACAUCGGAACGUGCCUAGUAGUGGGGGAUAACUACUCGAAAGAGUGGCUAAUACCGCAUGAGAUCUACGGAUGAAAGCAGGGGAUCGCAAGACCUUGUGCUACUAGAGCGGCCGAUGGCAGAUUAGGGAGUUGGUGGGAAAAAAGCUUACCAAGCCGACGAUCUGUAGCUGGUCUGAGAGGACGAGCCGCCACACUGGGACUGAGAAACGGCCCAGGCUCGUACGGGAGGGAGCGGUGGGGAAUUUUGGACAAUGGGCGCAAGCCUGAUCCAGCAAUGCCGCGUGCAGGAUGAAGGCCUUCGGGUUGUAAACUGCUUUUGUACGGAACGAAAAGCCCUGGGUUAAUACCCUGGGGUCAUGACGGUACCGUAAGAAUAAGCACCGGCUAACUACGUGCCAGCCGCCGCAGUAAAAC